CGAUUUUCUGCUAGAAGAAAACGAAGAUUCCUCUCAUUGGGUCGAAGAUAAGCAGUUCGAAAGGCGCUCUUAAUCCAUUUAAAAAUAUAUAAGUUUGCCAGAAAAUAUAAUGUAACUUGAAUCCCACAAGGAACUUUUCAUUUGAAACAGACUUUAUUACUGCAAAUGACCCCUUGAGUACAGCAUUUGCAUUAUGUAUUGUAUUUAUCAGAAUAUUAAAG